rnacentral:rRNA from 1 species
UACGUAGGAUGCAAGCGUUGUCCGGAAUUAUUGGGCGUAAAGAGCGCGCAGGCGGUAUGACAAGUCAGAUGUGAAAGAGGCCGGCUUAACCGGCAAGGGUCAUUUGAAACUGUCAGACUAGAGUGCAGCAGAGGAUAGUGGAAUUCCCGGUGUAGUGGUGAAAUGCGUAGAUAUCGGGAGGAACACCAGUGGCGAAGGCGGCGUCCUGGCCUGCGACUGACGCUGUGGCGCGAAAGCUAGGGGGAGCGAACGGG